rnacentral:rRNA from 1 species
UAUGAACGCUGACGACGUGCCUAAUACAUGCAAGUCGAGCGAACAGACGAGGAUCUUGCUCCUCUGACGUUAGCGGCGGACGGGUGAGUAACACGUGGAUAACCUACCUAUAAGACUGGGAUAACUUCGUGAAACCGGAGCUAAUACCGGAUAAUAUAUUGAACCGCAUGGUUCAAUAGUGAAAGACGGUUUUGCGGUCACUUAUAGAUGGAUCCGCGCCGCAUUAGCUAGUUGGUAAGGUAACGGCUUACCAAGGCAACGAGGCGUAGCCGACCUGAGAGGGUGAUCGGCCACACUGGAACCGACAACCCGUGCAGCCCCCUACGGGAGGCAGUAGUAGGGAAUAUUCCGAAGUGGGCGAAAGCCGGACGGAGUCACGACGCGGGAGUGAUGACUGACUUCGGAUAGUAAAACUCUGCUAUGAGGGCAGCACAAAUGUGUACGUAACUAUGCAGGUCUUGACGGUACCUAAUCAGAAAGCCACGGCUACUUACGU